GCAGCCGCCGCGGUAAUACAGAGGGUGCAAGCGUUAAUCGGAAUUACUGGGCGUAAAGCGCGCGUAGGUGGUUUGUUAAGUUGGAUGUGAAAUCCCCGGGCUCAACCUGGGAACUGCAUCCAAAACUGGCAAGCUAGAGUAUGGUAGAGGGUGGUGGAAUUUCCUGUGUAGCGGUGAAAUGCGUAGAUAUAGGAAGGAACACCAGUGGCGAAGGCGACCACCUGGACUGAUACUGACACUGAGGUGCGAAAGCGUGGGGAGCAAACAGGAUUAGAUACCCCCGUAGUCCCUGUCUCUUAUAC
rnacentral:rRNA from 1 species